rnacentral:rRNA from 1 species
CCUGGCUCAGGAUGAACGCUAGCUACAGGCUUAACACAUGCAAGUCGAGGGGCAGCAUUUUAGUUUGCUUGCAAACUAAAGAUGGCGACCGGCGCACGGGUGAGUAACACGUAUCCAACCUGCCGAUAACUCGGGGAUAGCCUUUCGAAAGAAAGAUUAAUAUCCGAUAGUAUAUUAAAACCGCAUGGUUUUACUAUUAAAGAAUUUCGGUUAUCGAUGGGGAUGCGUUCCAUUAGUUUGUUGGCGGGGUAACGGCCCACCAAGACUACGAUGGAUAGGGGUUCUGAGAGGAAGGUCCCCCACAUUGGAACUGAGACACGGUCCAAACUCCUACGGGAGGCAGCAGUGAGGAAUAUUGGUCAAUGGACGAGAGUCUGAACCAGCCAAGUAGCGUGAAGGAUGACUGCCCUAUGGGUUGUAAACUUCUUUUAUAUGGGAAUAAAGUAUUCCACGUGUGGAUUUUGUAUGUACCAUAUGAAUAAGGAUCGGCUAACUCCGUGCCAGCAGCCGCGGUAAUACGGAGGAUCCGAGCGUUAUCCGGAUUUAUUGGGUUUAAAGGGAGCGUAGGUGGAUUGUUAAGUCAGUUGUGAAAGUUUGCGGCUCAACCGUAAAAUUGCAGUUGAAACUGGCAGUCUUGAGUACAGUAGAGGUGGGCGGAAUUCGUGGUGUAGCGGUGAAAUGCUUAGAUAUCACGAAGAACUCCGAUUGCGAAGGCAGCUCACUAGACUGCAACUGACACUGAUGCUCGAAAGUGUGGGUAUCAAACAGGAUUAGAUACCCUGGUAGUCCACACAGUAAACGAUGAAUACUCGCUGUUUGCGAUAUACAGUAAGCGGCCAAGCGAAAGCAUUAAGUAUUCCACCUGGGGAGUACGCCGGCAACGGUGAAACUCAAAGGAAUUGACGGGGGCCCGCACAAGCGGAGGAACAUGUGGUUUAAUUCGAUGAUACGCGAGGAACCUUACCCGGGCUUAAAUUGCAUUUGAAUAAUCUGGAAACAGGUUAGCCGCAAGGCAAAUGUGAAGGUGCUGCAUGGUUGUCGUCAGCUCGUGCCGUGAGGUGUCGGCUUAAGUGCCAUAACGAGCGCAACCCUUAUCUUUAGUUACUAACAGGUCAUGCUGAGGACUCUAGAGAGACUGCCGUCGUAAGAUGUGAGGAAGGUGGGGAUGACGUCAAAUCAGCACGGCCCUUACGUCCGGGGCUACACACGUGUUACAAUGGGGGGUACAGAAGGCAGCUACCUGGCGACAGGAUGCUAAUCCCAAAAACCUCUCUCAGUUCGGAUCGAAGUCUGCAACCCGACUUCGUGAAGCUGGAUUCGCUAGUAAUCGCGCAUCAGCCAUGGCACGGUGAAUACGUUCCCGGGC